rnacentral:rRNA from 1 species
CCUACGGGAGGCAGCAGUGAGGAAUAUUGGUCAAUGGCCGCAGGGCUGAACCAGCCAAGUCGCGUGAGGGAUGACGGUCCUAUGGAUUGUAAACCUCUUUUGUCAGGGAGCAAAGGGCGCCACGUGUGGCGCUUUGCGAGUACCUGAAGAAAAAGCAUCGGCUAACUCCGUGCCAGCAGCCGCGGUAAUACGGAGGAUGCGAGCGUUAUCCGGAUUUAUUGGGUUUAAAGGGUGCGCAGGCGGAAUGUCAAGUCAGCGGUAAAAUUUCGGGGCUCAACCCCGUCCUGCCGUCGGAACUGGGUGCCUUGAGUGGGCGAGAAGUAUGCGGAAUGCGUGGUGUAGCGGUGAAAUGCAUAGAUAUCACGCAGAACCCCGAUUGCGAAGGCAGCAUACCGGCGCCCUACUGACGCUGAGGCACGAAAGUGCGGGUAUCGAACAGGAUUAGAUACCCGGGUAGUC